GCUAGGGUAGUGUAGUGGCUUGAGCACUGGACUACAACUCUGGAGACCAGGGUUUGAAUCCCUUCUCGGCCA